UACGGAGGGAGCUAGCGUUAUUCGGAAUUACUGGGCGUAAAGCGCACGUAGGCGGCUUUGUAAGUUAGAGGUGAAAGCCUGGAGCUCAACUCCAGAAUUGCCUUUAAGACUGCAUCGCUUGAAUCCAGGAGAGGUGAGUGGAAUUCCGAGUGUAGAGGUGAAAUUCGUAGAUAUUCGGAAGAACACCAGUGGCGAAGGCGGCUCACUGGACCGGUAUUGACGCUGAGGUGCGAAAGCGUGGGGAGCAAACAGG
rnacentral:rRNA from 1 species